UAAGCAUGGAGGUCGAAGUGAAUUUUGCUUUCUAAAAAAUGACAAAAAAUGUUUAUGAUUAGCAUAAUGAAAUUACUUAUGUAUUUUAAUUUAUUUUCAGAUAAAAUAAAAAUUAUGUGCACAUGAGCUCACCACCAGUGGGCGAGAGUAAAAUUUGCCCCUUUUAUUCUACCACAAAUCACUCCAUCCAAACACAAUCUAAUUAUGACUUUGGAAGUCAUUGUUUGGUCUCUUGUUUACCGUUAAGUAUAAUGAAGGAGGAGAAGAAAAGAAUGUCUGUGAAGGUAGGUCACAUGCAUGCAUGAUCAGGGUAUAACAUAUUGCAACCGUCUGAUCUAAGUUGGAUGGCGAUGAUUGAACAAGGGUUAACAGUUAGGUAAGGAGAUGUUUGUGUGGGUGGGUCCAGACACACGUGUACAUUGUGGUCCUCAAUAGUACAAAUCCAGCGUAGAGGAAUUUUGUUUGCUUAGUUAAGGUCAAAAUCUCAAUCAUGGAGGCAUUAUUUGGGUGGACAACGGACAGACUCAUCUUCUCCACUCAAAUAAAUCAUAAUAUUUUGUGUAUCUAAAGAUAAGGAAGAGAGAGAGAGAGAGAGAGAGAGAGAGAGAGAGAGAGAGAGAGAAGCAAGCAACCAUUACAUAAAACAAAGACUUCACAGUCAUCCAGCAAAGAUCCCUUUGGGUGGAGAAAACUUUUUCAUUUUCUGCUUUUGCCACUACACCCAUCGGCCACUCAAAAUCUUAUUCUUUCUCCAAAAGACAGAAGAAGAGUCGUGGGAAGAAAAAAAGCACACAUGCAAACAUGUUUUUUGGGUUCAACUCAGAAACAAAUAACACUGAAUUUGAGCUAAACAAUGAAAAUGGAGCUUUGGAAUCAAUCCAUCUUGGAAAAGGCAACAGCAGAUAUCAACUCUAUGUUUCAGUAUUCAAGGUACCCUUACCAACACUUCCAUUUUUCUAAGAAAUUAAUCACAUAAUAUCUACAUAUACAGAAUUAAAUCAUAAAUAUACAAAACUAAAUCAUAAAAAAAAUAAUUUAAAUAUACACAUCAAUACGAUGACACCCACCCCUAGUGAAAAUGACAAAGAUAUCAAUGAAGGCGAGCCCAUUGUUGAGACAAGUGCAUUUUUGAUGUUUUUAUGACUUGAUUCUAUCUAUGUAAACUUAAUCUAAUUAGCAGCAUAGACAAGAAUAAGAAAUAUGAGAAACCAAUCUCAUGACAAACCAUGCCAAAACUUGAUGAGAUCAAAACCUUACACAGCUACAUUGAAGAAACUUACAUAUAUUAAGAUGGUUAUUUUCUAAAUUUUUGAAACUGCGGUUUUUUCAUUCAUCAAUUUUGAAUUACAAUGCAAACAAAAAUAAUAAUAAUUUUGAAUUACAGUGGUGGAAACUACAGAAACAUCAGUCUGCUUCUUUUCUGAAGGUUUUGCCUAGGAACGAAUUAAUGUUUACAUGAACAAGUUCAAUAUCAGAAUGAUCACAGAAGUUUCUCCUAUGCAAUGAAUCCUAAUAGUACACAUUCAACUUCCUAUAAAAG